UACGUAGGUGACAAGCGUUGUCCGGAUUUACUGGGCGUAAAGAGCGCGCAGGCGGUCGAUCAAGUCGAGUGUGAAAGCCCCCCGGCUCAACUGGGGAGGGUCAUUCGAUACUGAUCGACUCGAAGGCAGGAGAGGGUAGUGGAAUUUCCCGGUGUAGUGGUGAAAUGCGUAGAUAUCGGGAGGAACACCGGUGGCGAAGGCGGGGUCUCUGGGCAACAACUGACGCUGAGGGAGCGAAAAGCUGGGGAGCAACGG
rnacentral:rRNA from 1 species